rnacentral:rRNA from 1 species
UACGUAGGGGGCUAGCGUUGUUCGGAAUUACUGGGCGUAAAGCGCGUGUAGGCGGUUGUUCAAGUCAGGUGUGAAAGCCUUGAGCUCAACUCAAGAAAUGCACUUGAUACUGGAUGACUAGAGGACCGGAGAGGAUAGUGGAAUUCCCAGUGUAGUGGUGAAAUACGUAGAGAUUGGGAAGAACACCAGUGGCGAAGGCGGCUCUCUGGGACGGUACUGACGCUGAGACGCGAAAGCGUGGGGAGCGAACAGG